UACAGAGGGGGCAAGCGUUGUUCGGAAUUACUGGGCGUAAAGGGCGCGUAGGCGGCCUGUUAAGUCGAACGUGAAAUCCCCGGGCUCAACCCGGGAACUGCGUCCGAUACUGGCAGGCUUGAAUUCGGGAGAGGGAUGUGGAAUUCCAGGUGUAGCGGUGAAAUGCGUAGAUAUCUGGAGGAACACCGGUGGCGAAGGCGGCAUCCUGGACCGAUAUUGACGCUGAUGCGCGAAGGCCAGGGGAGCAAACGGG
rnacentral:rRNA from 1 species